GAGGAUUCAGACCAUCAGUUCAUUAUCGUCUGGUGUACAAUUCAUAUCUUAUAGUAAAUUGUCCAAACGCCGUUUGAUUCUGAACACAUUUCCGUGAACAGAUCACAUUCUUUAGGAAUUGAUAUUGUGCGAGUGAAACUGGGAAGAAACAUAAAUUGUACUGCAACUCCUCCCUUAGUAUGAAAUGGAUAAACAGGCCACAGUUAACAACAACAACAAAGGAAUAAUUACUUCCCGGAUAUGGCGAGUCGGCCACAGGUGUCAAUCUCCAACGAAGUUUCUUUAUUGAAAUUAUGCCCAGGAGAAAACGUGUUGAAAGAGUCGUGCAGCUCACUGCUGUCGUUCAACCAUUUAUUUGUUCAAAAUCAUUGUAUUCUACUGAAUGUGCCAUCAAAAUGAAACAGGAUUCAUCAUAAUGGUCUGCUGU